rnacentral:piRNA from 1 species
UGACAAAGAGUUGAUUUCUUGAAAAUAGCC